rnacentral:rRNA from 1 species
AGCAGCCGCGGUAAUUCCAGCUCCAAUAGCGUAUGUUAAAGUUGUUGCAGUUAAAAAGCUCGUAGUUGAAUUUCGGGAUCAGAUUGUCGGUCGUGCCUCGGUACGCACUGGCAUUAUUGGUUCCUACCUUCUGAAGAACCGCGAUGUCAUUAAUUUGGUGUCGUGGGGAAUCAGGACUGUUACUUUGAAAAAAUUAGAGUGUUUAAAGCAGGCGCGCGCUUGAAUACAUUAGCAUGGAAUAAUGAAAUAGGACGUUUGAUUCUAUUUUGUUGGUUUCUAGGAUCGACGUAAUGAUUAAUAGGGAUAGUUGGGGGCAUUAGUAUUCAAUUGUCAGAGGUGAAAUUCUUGGAUUUAUUGAAGACUAACUACUGCGAAAGCAUUUGCCAAGGAUGUUUUCAUUAAUCAAGAACGAAAGUUAGGGGAUCGAAGACGAUCAGAUACCGUCGUAGU